ensembl:lncRNA
GGCCAUUCUAACACAUGGAUAUGUUUUGUUUUAAACCAUUCCAUUGUUGCCCUGGCUUUAUGUUUAGGGUCGUUGUCCUGCUGGAAGGUGAACCUCCGCCCCAGUCUCAAGUCUUUUGCAGACUCCAAGAGGUUUUCUUCCAACAUUGCCCUGUAUUUGGCUCCAUCCAUCUUCCCAUCAACUCUGACCAGCUUCCCUGUCCCUGUCCCGGCCUUGUCUUGGAAGUGACAGUCAGCAACAGGAAGUGUUGGACCUGAAAUAAACACAACAUCCAGAUGAUCCAGUGAGACUGAAGAAAACCCAGAGGUGGCAUACGACCUGGUACUAAAUACAUUAGAGGGUUCCCCAGGCAACCAGAACGUGGAGUGUCCACCAGCAACCGAUCGUCAGCUGCAAAGCAGAGUAUGACGAGUAUGACCAGCGACUUCAGAGGCCACACCCUUGACAAUGCACACUUCAAUCCAGCAUGUCUUUAUCCUGUUUUCCUUCUUUCACCCCAACCGGUCGCAGCAGAUGGCCCCGCCCCUCCCUGAGCCUGGUUCUGCCGGAGGUUUCUUCCUGUUAAAAGGGAGUUUUUUCCUUCCCACUGUCGCC